GCCAUGAGAGCCACUGCCUGGUACUGCAUUAUCAUUAUCAUUAUUAUUAUUAUUGUUAUUUACUACUACUACUACUACUACUACUACUACUACUACUACUACUACUACUACUUCUACUACUACUGUUACAGUUACAGAGCUUUAAAUUUUGAGUUUUUCAAAUUCUACCAGAGUCCCAGAGCCUAUAGAAUAUAGAGUGAAUGGAGUUAAUUCAAUGAAGGAUACACUCCUUCACUUCCUAUUUGUGAAUUUCUAGCACAGUUUCAAUCGGAUAUCCAUAUCAACACAGUUGCAUUGAUAAAGAAAACACAUGUCACCCCUGUUUGUGUUGUAUUUACCUCAUACCCUCCACAUAUGAACAUAAUUAAAUAAAGUCUAACCAUAUGUAAUGUAAUGAACCAAAUAAAAUUUCUUAUCAAUUCAAGUUUACUCCCAUAAAAAAAAAAAAAGAAGACAAACAAAUUCCUGCUCCUGAUAAUUCUUGCCAAAAGCAAAAAACAAACAAAUCCAAAAUUCCAAUUGAUUACAAACUGAAUGUGAGUCAGGUGUGGGCGUUUUGGGGGAAGUAACAACUCUGGACAUGUUAUUAGACUUCUUCAGCAAAGUAUGGUCUUACAUGUACUUAUCAGACCUUGGAAUCACUAAGAUAAUAUAUAACUCUUGAGUGAGAUAAAUAUUCAUUGAUCAGGUCAUUUAAAAUGAUAUCAUUUGAAAAUUUCCCUUAAAAAGAAAAAGACAAAAAUGUUAUCAAAUGGUAGUUAACAUGUUUAAUUUUGUUAUAUUUCGGGAUGGUCGUUUUCAUUUUUUUCUCAUUUUUUUUUGUCAAAUAAACACACGCACUCUACAUUCAUUCUUCACUUGUUUAUUACUGUUCUUAUUUGAUCUUAAGUCCAUUGUCUGGAAAUCUUUCAGCACACAUUUGUGACCUCUUCAGCAACCCUUUCCAUCCAUGUGUAUCCUCCUGCUCCACUUAGUUCAUUCUCUCAAAAAUACAAAAAGAAAAAAACGACCGUCCUGAAACAUAACAAGUUCUGUUUCAACAGACAGUUUCACAUCGGGAAUCUUGCGACACAAAUUCAUAAAUGUAACAUAUUUAAUGUAAUCUACCAAAUAAAAGGUUGAUUAAGAAAGAAAUGUCUGUUGUAGCAUUAAUGUGUCAGAGUGUUUGGAGAUAACAAGUCUUCAUACAACAGAGAACAUUCGAUGUGAAUACCAUUAUUAACAUUGUUUCAAUGCCAAAUAUUUAUUUCAGCUUGUAUGAAAAUUAUUGUUAUGGAUAUGUUUUUACAAGAUUUCUUUAAAAGAUUAUUUGAUAAACAAUUUAUGUUUUAAUAUGGUCAAUCGUAUAUAAAUAGUAAUUGAUUUAAAAAAAACUUUGGCUGUUUUUAUCACUUGGUUGUAGACUUGAUCUAUCAGCUGGCUUAACACAACCAGAUCAUACUCAGAUGCCAUUUAUAGGGUCCAUUCUUUUGUGCUUGAAAGAUAAACUUAAUCUGUUGCCCCAUUUAACAUCACUUUAUUGAAGCAGCCCCACUCUGUUGCAAGCAGGACUCCAUUCUAAGAAUAAAUCAUGGUCCCAUCUUCUUGUUCUUCCUACCCACCAUUGAGACCCAACAAACGUCACAUGACUACUUCCCUUCCUCCUCCUCUGACAAACAUAUAAGGAAUAAGUGUCGAUAUUAUUUCAUUUUUUUAAAAAAUUCAUUGUAUUGUAUAUAUAUCAGAUCCUUCCAUGGUGACCUAUUAUAGAAUUUAUAGUAUUUUCUAUGCAACAAAAUUCCUUGAAAUAAAAAUGAUGCUGCUGUAA